rnacentral:rRNA from 1 species
AGUGAACGCUGGCGGUAGGCCUAACACAUGCAAGUCGAACGGCAGCACAGUAAGAGCUUGCUCUUACGGGUGGCGAGUGGCGGACGGGUGAGGAAUACAUCGGAAUCUACUUUUUCGUGGGGGAUAACGUCGGGAAACUUACGCUAAUACCGCAUACGACCUACGGGUGAAAGCAGGGGAUCUUCGGACCUUGCGCGAUUGAAUGAGCCGAUGUCGGAUUAGCUAGUUGGCGGGGUAAAGGCCCACCAAGGCGACGAUCCGUAGCGGGUCUGAGAGGAUGAUCAGCCACACUGGAACUGAGACACGGUCCAGACUCCUACGGGAGGCAGCAGUGGGGAAUAUUGGACAAUGGGCGCAAGCCUGAUCCAGCCAUACCGCGUGGGUGAAGAAGGCCUUCGGGUUGUAAAGCCCUUUUGUUGGGAAAGAAAAGCAGCAGGUUAAUACCCCGCUGUUCUGACGGUACCCAAAGAAUAAGCACCGGCUAACUUCGUG